rnacentral:tRNA from 1 species
GGAGGGAUGGCCGAGUGGUUUAAGGCGGCGGUCUUGAAAACCGUUGUCCCGAAAGGGACCGUGGGUUCGAAUCCUACUCCCUCCGCCA